UUAAUCAUAACAUAUAUAUAAAAGUCCAUAUAUUUCAUAGCUUCAGAAUGAGUUACAGAUAACAUUGAUCAUAUAUAGGAAGCACCAUUUAUAAUCAGGGCAAAUUAUUAAAAUAUGAAAACAGCAAACAAAGCACACAAUUUAUUGAUACUCGAUCCGAUCCAGAGGUAGUAACAGUAACCAAGCAAGCAUGCGCAUGUUAGACCCCCUUGAGUGUCCAAUUGACUUUGUGACUUCCAUGACCAUGACCAUGACCAUGAGGCUUAAUCCUGUUGUUAUUAUUGUAUCCAUAUGGAUUAGCAUAGUGAACAUCUCCUCCAUAUGUUCCAUGACGCUCA
rnacentral:lncRNA from 1 species